CAUGAUGUGGGCAGUCCAUAAGUCCUGUAUUUUAUGCGAAGGAGAGACUUCUUUAUUACAAUCAAGAGUAUCGUUGCGCAGUGAUGAGGGUGGAACCUGCUGUGCAUGGUUAUCCACCCUACUAUGAGCUCCGUAUCUGGAAUUCUACUGUUAUUCGCGGCCCUCGCACAAUAUGUACUACACGCUUCUUAAAGUAUGGUGACCCGGGGCGCGACAUUUAUGGACCGCAGUGCCAGCGUCUUCUCCAUGAGUAUCAAUAUAAGGAGGGAUAAGGUUCUUCAUAUGGAACAAGUUGCACAAAAGACAGGGACAAAAGAAGGAACAUGAAGAAUCGAUGACAGCUAAGGUUUUGUAGGCUAAGGUUCUAACUUUAUGACGAAGGAAAGGCAAGAAAAUAAUAACGCAGCACAGCGCGACCAUCUGAUUAAGUCUUUGUGUGCACUUUGAGCGAAGUAGCGAAAAGUAGAAUGAGACCAUAAAAGCACUCUUUUUUGAAAAAAAUAAAAUUUGGCACCAAUAGAAAUAACGUCAUUGAGGUUUUCUUCAGUAAAGCGCGCAGGGAGCUCACGUGGCAACUGCGAUGAGCGGUGAAGCUAGAUCUUAGACAUAUUUGAAAACAACAACACAAAAAACAAAGAAAAGCGCACCAUAGUGCUGUGGUGUCUUCCUUGUACUUCUUGUGCCCGUGUUGGUUUUUCGCACAGUUGUCUUCAAAUACGUUCAAGAAAUUCGCCGCCUGGCCCAGCCUUCUUCUACAGUCAAAUGAGCGACCGGCGCAAAAUGUGAUGGCUCUCCUUGAAUCUUUGGGAUUAGACGUGGCCUUUGUUGUCAAUUUAGCUGAGUGCUGCAUAAUCAGCUGCGCUUUCCUAAUUCUUGAAUAGUCUGAAUAUCACAGAAAACCUACUGCUACUGAAAAAGCUCGAAACAGGUACAUCAUUCAACAGCCCUCAAGGAGGAAGGUACUGGGCCUCAAGCCUACCUGUGGGGCGAUAGUACUGAUCGCGAACUCUGGCCGUCGAGACUGCAACAUACGUCGCCAAGACAUGCCCGGACAAGCUGCCUUUGAAAAUGCGAGAAGCACGUUCAGACUUCGAAAGAUUCGAGGAUGCCGCGAAGGUGUCAGUGGGGAAGAUCUAGAAAGCAUGUGGGGGCCUGUAUAAGCGCUGCGCUAUAGAAGGUGAGAAGACCUGACAGCUGCGGUAAACAGAGCUGAAGACAGAGUGGCAAUCCCUGUGCAUGAAAACAAAGGAACCCCAGGACUAAGCAACGCAGCCUACAGCAUCUUAAGAUGGCUUUCGCUUCAUCAAGAAUGUCCCUGUUAAUAAAUCAGUCAAUUUGUCCUGAGGGCUUCAAGGUGAAAAUCAAGCACGAAUGAAUACCGAAGGACCAUUACUGUUCUUUUUAAAUCAGCAAUCUACAUACCUGUACUUAUUUCGUUU
rnacentral:misc_RNA from 1 species